rnacentral:rRNA from 1 species
CAAGUCGAGGGGCAGCAUUUCAGUUUGCUUGCAAACUGGAGAUGGCGACCGGCGCACGGGUGAGUAACACGUAUCCAACCUGCCGAUAACUCGGGGAUAGCCUUUCGAAAGAAAGAUUAAUACCCGAUGGUAUAAUUAGACCGCAUGGUCUAAUUAUUAAAGAAUUUCGGUCAUCGAUGGGGAUGCGUUCCAUUAGGUUGUUGGCGGGGUAACGGCCCACCAAGCCUUCGAUGGAUAGGGGUUCUGAGAGGAAGGUCCCCACAUUGGAACUGAGACACGGUCCAAACUCC